GCCCGGGUGAUGUAAUCGGUAGCCAUGCAGAGUUUAAGCCUCUGUGCCGUAAGGCGUGCGAGUUCGAGUCUCGCCCCGGGCACCA
rnacentral:tRNA from 1 species